UUAUGGCCACGUCAAAACAUCGGUUCCUGUAUGAUCACCGAAGUUAAGCAACGUCGAGCCUGGUCAAUACCUAGAUGGGCAACCGCUUGAGAAUACCAGGUGCUGUAAG